GGUCGUGGCAUAGUGGUUUGAGUGUUGGACUAUAACUCUGGAGACCAGGGUUUGAUUCCCACCUCAACCA
rnacentral:tRNA from 1 species